UGCCAGCCGCCGCGGUAAUACAGAGGGUGCGAACGUUGCUCGGAAUUACUGGGCGUAAAGCGCGUGUAGGCGGCUUGUUAAGUCGACUGUGAAAGCCCAUGGCUCAACCAUGGAGGUGCGGUCGAUACUGGCAAGCUGGAGUCCCGGAGAGGGUGGCGGAAUUCUCAGUGUAGAGGUGAAAUUCGUAGAUAUUGGGAGGAACACCGGUGGCGAAGGCGGCCACCUGGACGGGUACUGACGCUGAGACGCGAAAGCGUGGGGAGCAAACAGGAUUAGAUA
rnacentral:rRNA from 1 species